CAUCCAGGACAUCUACUCGAAAAGGUGCCUGAGAAAGGUGUGCAGCAUCAUCAAAGACCUCACAUACUCCAGCCACGAGCUGUUCUCUCCCUUACUGUCGGGCAGACAGUAUCGGAGCAUGAGGUCUGAUAGAAACUAUAUCUAUAAGCCAUCAGACUGCUGAACACAUGAACUGGACUGACAACCUGCUCUGAUUCUCGGUACUUUAGCACACAUGCACUCCAGUGGUGGUCGGUGCCAUUUAAGAUGAGGACUGUGCGGACCUUGUGUUGAAGGUGCUGAGCUCCUUUAAGAGUAGUAUAAUAGAGCAUGUGGUCCAAUCUCUGGAUAAGGACAGAGUGGACCUGCUCAUGAAGUACAUCUACAAAGACCUUGAGACGCCAUCGGAUAACAGCAGUGCCGUCCUGCUACAUUGACAAGAAAAGGACCUUGAGGGUGGCUGAGGUGUACCCAUGACAAGCUUGGAAACCAGACUGUAUAGCGGAGAAGGUACGGUGGGAUACGAAAUGGCUCUAUCUGCAGGUGGAGUGGAAUGCAUCUUCAGAGUACUAACAGCCAGAAAGACUGUCUAACUUACAAAUGAGGAAAGGAUCCAUGUUCUUCACAGCAACUGUCUGGUACACAUCACAACACAAGGAUGAUAUGUGUAUUAUACAGUAGAUCACAGGAUGCCACAUGGGAGACCUGUCUGUUUGUAGUCAGAUCUCACUUCCCACUGUCUUCCUGUACCUAUACAGAUACAAAAUGACAAACUUUUUCGCACAUUCACCCAAACACAUAAGACACACCAAAUUGGCAUGGUAUUUACUCCAUUGUCUUCCCUCCCUAGACCCUCAAAUACACACACAAACAAUGCUACAGCACGCUUUUAGGUCUGGCUUUGUUUCUUUCUGAAAAAAUCUCUGAUUAUUGUCAGCUCAUUUGUUUACCGUAAUACUAUUUUCAUUAAAGCUCUGUUAGUCCGUUGUCUUUGCUAAAAAGCUGAUCAGUGAAUUCCAGAUCGAACAAAAGCCUAUAAUUCCCCUCCAAAAUCCCUAAUUAAGUGGGAGGCUCCUGAAAAGCACAGCCACAGAUAGAGCGUUUGCUCCUACAAGGUGGGAUCCAGCCAUCCUGCCUGCCCUAGUUAGGGAUUAUUACCCACAAUGUAUAACUACUACUCCUACUACUAAAUAAUCCUAGGCUGUGUUCCAGUAAACACACUAGCCUACCACAAAUGUAAUGGUCAUGCAUUCUAAGUGGUAUGCUACUAUGGGUGUAGUGAGAUGUAGCCCUAUUCUCACUGAAUCACUAACUCACUCGCACCUACACAGCAUUAUCAUGUCAGGUUUUGUGUUAUACUGUUUUAUAAGGGAGGCAUUUGUUGAACUUUCAGGAAAUUAGACCUAUUCAUUUUUGUAUUAUUUUUAUUUGGACUACCAGAGAAAUUGACUCAGAUUUAUUCUUUGCUCUGUGUUGCCAUUGAUUCUCUCACUCACACAUUCCCUCACCAGAGUCCUAACUUACCUUUUUGUAUACCAUCACUGCUAGACAAUCACUGUGUAUCUUUCUUGCACUAUUUAACCUGUGCAAUUGUUUGUUUAAUUGUAAUGCUUUUCUAUUGUUAUUUUUAAACAGCUCUCUUUGGGCGUCUUCCUGUUAAUUGGUCAGUACUUCAAAAAAAGCCAUUGAAUUAUCAAUACAUAUUGCAUUAAAUAGGAGUUGAGCUUACUCCUUUUUUAAAGGCCAUGUAUUUGGAAUAUGAUCCCAGGGAAUGUGUUCAGUUAAAAAUGCUAUCAUACAUUAUGUAGGACAGUAUUUUGUGGUGCACAACCAAACACUUUCCCUGGGUUUUGUGUCAUUCGCGGUGGGACCCAGGACAUUUACAAAAAGUUAAUUGAUGCAAGGUUUUAAAUGAUUAUUUUUCUAUUAUUUAUGUUCAAAUCAGUGUCUUUUGUUCAUUCCUCUCAAGCACUUAUUGUUUGAGGACCACUAUCAGUAUUAUGUCUUCGUCUCCAAAGGGACUGUGAGUCCCAAAUGGCACCCUAAAUACAACUGAACAUACCAAACUGGUGUACAAACUGCCUUACUUGAUAACAAUACAAAAAAUGGUUUGUGCUUUGUGAUGAAAUAAUAUAAUUGAUAUGAAAACAGAUUUGAAGUUAUGAGUUAUUGUACUUGAAAAGUACUUGUGGUGCAGUUGGUAUAAUUAUUCACAGAAGCACAUUACCUUUAUCUUGAUUGUAUGUCUGUUCAUUUAUGUUUAAAACAUUUUUUAAUACAGUAUAGAAAUACAUAAGAAAAAACAUUUAUAUACAAAACAUAACAAUAGAAUACAUCUUGGCACUGUAACCGACUAUGGAUGAACUGGUUAAAAAAAGUUACAUGAACCUUUAAUGAUGGGGUUGUAUUGACUAUAAUGUAGUACUGCAAAUAAUAAAUACUGAUCCUAUCUGACACUGAUAAUGAAGGAUGGAGUGUAUUGUGUAUCCUGGGGAGGAGGAGUGAUUACUUGAGGUGGGUUAUACUGACAGACAGCCAAACUUCUCUUGCCAACUAGUCUCUACAAGCACCAUUUCUGACCAAUCAAAUGGACAGCUCAGUUAUCCGGUCUGAUGUCACAACAUUCUGUGACCAACUAGACGAGAGUUGAGCAAAGGAGGGAACUGACCCUUUUUUUCGUAUUAAAGUACUUCCCAAUAACUUAAUAGGUAGAUGUAAAUAAAGGCUAGCUAGUGUUUCUUGUCUCCACCACAUUGAGCCUGCGGGAGGGAGCCUACAUUCUGGGCCAACGGUGGACUCAUCAUCGUCCCUGGAGAAUAAGUCCGGGUCAUCUCUAAAUAUCACUACACCUUGUGGGUGGGAGAGAGGAGGGCAGGGUAAAGUACAAGAAGAGGGUAAAACAAUUCAUUCAGGGAACCAAAAAAUCCUUUAGCAUGGGAGAGUACAAUAUUCUUUUUAGGAUAUCUGGCCAAUUAAUGUGUUUACGUCCAUCCAAGAGGAGCUUGCUCAUGUGUAAACUCUGUUGUGCACCAGGGGCGAGUGUUGAACUUUCCUAAUCUGCCUCCUGGGGUUUGCUGUUCUGUUCUCCGGUC
rnacentral:lncRNA from 1 species